GAGGGUAUAGCUCAGUGGCAGAGCACAUGCUUAGCACGCACAAGGUCCUAGGUUCAAUUCCCAGCACUUCCA
rnacentral:tRNA from 1 species